UUCUUAUUACCCUGCUGUCUGGGGAUAAAUUACUUAAAUUCUUAUAGCCUUACGUUUUCAACCUAUAAAUUUGCCAUAAUGCUUGGUUAGAUUGAAGAUUAGUGAGGAGGGGCUCCCAUGCUGGGAGAGGGAGCAGCAGUCUGUUCCAAUAACAAUAGUGACAUCAAGGUUCUGCAGGCAUACCGAGGUCUGAAGUAAGGAAAGAUAAACAGUACAAGGAUGAAGAGGAGUACAAACCACAGCUUGAACAUGGGGACAGACAUCUACGUGGGAUGAAUUCCUCUGAGCAAACAGUUUAUGAAGGCACACACCAGGAAAUGAAGAAGUCACCACCAUCUGCCCAGGCAGUGGAAUUCUGAACACCAGGGAAUGGAAUAGAAGCACCAAGAGGACUUUUUUCCAUGACUAGAUAGUAACUGUAAUCAAUUCUUUUUCUUUGAAGAAGUAUGGUUCCCAAACAUAAGAGGAGAUUGUUAUUUAAAAUUUUGGGUAAGUAAGAGAUCCAAAUGUAUUUACAGGGAGUUCAUUAAGGAUUCUGUAUGUACUCUCUUCAAGGAGAUGAAACCAUGGCACAUAUGCUUUAAUCAGUGACUCUCAUGGAGAUAUCAGCUGAAAUGACCAGUGGGGAAAUUUUCAUGAUUAACUAAUAUAUAAUUACAUUGUUCUGUUAACAGAUAUUACCUAUUCAUAAAAUACAUACCAGAUGUUUUCUGAAGUGCUCUUUUAGGGAGAGAGCAUGAUGCUUUUUAUAUAUAGUUGGUCACAUCUUGUCAACUGUUGGCAAAGUACAAAGGGUCUCAUGUAUUCUUGUGUAUUUCCAUCCACAUCUCUUGGUUUUCUAUGAUCAUGAGAUGGGAAGAAAAUUGUAAUUAAGUGUCAAACAGGAAUUCGAAAUGGGCUUAUAUUUUAUGAAAUGACUAUGGUCAUGUAUGGAACAGUCUAACGAAUGUACAAGAAAACGAGUUGAAACAUGAUUGCUGUAUUUUCCAUCAGAAAAAUAGGUGUCUCCUGAUAUUUAGGAUGAUGGGGCAGCUGACCCCAACCUGACCUUAAACUUUGAUUCCUUCUGCAGUUACAAUGUUCACUUGAACCCCUGCUUUGUGCAUAGCAGACAUCACGAGCAUCACAUAUCCUCACAUGGAGCUCUUCUUGGCGUACACACUGCUUCACAUCUUUCUAUUUCCAUUAGUCACUUCAUUCUUCUGCUUGCUCAGGCUGGAGACUUGGGGGCUACUUUUAACCUCUCUGUUCUUUACCUUCUUUCCUGUAAGAUGCAAAGUUUAAAUAGUCUAACCUCUUGCCAUCCUGGUCUACUAUUUCGGCCUGAGCCCCUCCAGAUUAUUUUGUUUUUCUGCUUUUGUUUUUGUUUGUUUGUUUGUUUGCUUCUUUGCUUUUUGACUCACUACAAGGGCUCUGGAGCCUUUGUGCAUCAGACCUUGUCCACUGUAAAAGAAGCCUUCAAGUUGAUCCAUUGAUAAAAACCAGAAAUUCUGCUCAGAACCUGAAGAGGCUGUGUUCAGUGUUAGUGUGCAGGUCCUUCUGUUGCUACCAAAGCUCACCAUGACCUGGUUUUGCAUUAGCUGCCAUGAUGACAGUUCUCUCAACUACCCCAUCUCUUGUCCAGCACCAGCUCCACUGGUCUUCUUGUUAAUCAAAGGAAACACAUCUGCUACAAACGUCUUCCCUUGAUCCCCACAUAGCUCACUGUCAUCCUUCAAGUCAUUCCUCAGAUUUCAUCUUCUAAACUAGACUUUCUUGCUAGUCUUUCGAAAACGACCAUCUGCCCAUCCUGAGUAGGUGCAGCAUGUCUUGUGUUCGCAUCUACAAAGUUUAUGAAACAGAAAAUUUGUUUAUUUCCUAUUUAUCAGUCCCCCAUUACAAAAUUUGGAGGCUAUACAAGAUACUCUUUGACCUAUAAAACGUCACAUCACAUCACAUCACAUCACAUCACAUCACAUCACAUCACAUCACAUCACAUCACACCACAUCACAUCACAUCACACAAAUCUAACCCUGCAAAAGUAGUUGAGGUUGCGUGUGAAAAGCUGUUAUUGGAGAAUGGAGUUGAGAUCCACUUUCUCAGAAGCCCUAGCUCCUGUAUCAAGUACGAAAGCACAGCACCGAUUAUAUGCUGAGGCAAAUCUUAUGCUCCUGAAAUAAGACUAAUUUAAAAGUCUGUUCAUUUUGCCAAUCGGCUGGCUGAAUUGUUGAGAAGCCUUGAAAGCAGAAAUUGAAUUCUCGGGAUGUCGGCUUCGGCUUCCUCAUCUGUAAAACGAAGCAGCUGUGACAGAGGACCUCCAUGUCCUCAACUACCUUCCUUAUGGUAGAAAAAUCAUGUUCAUUUCCUACUGUCCAGAGAUCCAUCUGUUUUAUGAAAUGUUUACAUGGAGUUUAAUGAUUGGAGGCACACACUGCCGACU